rnacentral:rRNA from 1 species
UACGGAGGGUGCAAGCGUUAUCCGGAUUCACUGGGUUUAAAGGGUGCGUAGGCGGGUUGGUAAGUCCGUGGUGAAAUCUCCAAGCUUAACUUGGAAACUGCCGUGGAUACUAUCAAUCUUGAAUAUAGUGGAGGUGAGCGGAAUAUGUCAUGUAGCGGUGAAAUGCUUAGAUAUGACAUAGAACACCCAUUGCGAAAGGCAGCUCGCUACACUAUUAUUUGACGCUGAGGCACGAAAAGCGUGGGGGAUCAAAACAGG